GCAAUGGUGGCUCAGUGGUAGAGUUCUUGCCUCCUGUGCAGGAGACCCAGGUUUGGGUCCUGGCCAACGCA
rnacentral:tRNA from 1 species